CAGCUUGCUGGUGUGGAUGAGUGGCGAACGGGUGAGUAAUACGUGAGUAACCUGCCCUUGACUCUGGGAUAAGCCCGGGAAACUGGGUCUAAUACUGGAUGCUACAUGUCACCGCAUGGUGGUGUGUGGAAAGGGUUUACUGGUCUUGGAUGGGCUCACGGCCUAUCAGCUUGUUGGUGAGGUAAUGGCUCACCAAGGCGACGACGGGUAGCCGGCCUGAGAGGGUGACCGGCCACACUGGGACUGAGACACGGYCCAGACUCCUACGGGAGGCAGCAGUGGGGAAUAUUGCACAAUGGGCGAAAGCCUGAUGCAGCGACGCCGCGUGAGGGAUGACGGCCUUCGGGUUGUAAACCUCUUUCAGCAGGGAAGAAGCCACAAGUGACGGUACCUGCAGAAGAAGCGCCGGCUAACUACGUGCCAGCAGCCGCGGUAAUACGUAGGGCGCAAGCGUUGUCCGGAAUUAUUGGGCGUAAAGAGCUCGUAGGCGGUUUGUCGCGUCUGCUGUGAAAGCCCGGGGCUUAACCCCGGGUGUGCAGUGGGUACGGGCAGACUAGAGUGCAGUAGGGGAGACUGGAAUUCCUGGUGUAGCGGUGGAAUGCGCAGAUAUCAGGAGGAACACCGAUGGCGAAGGCAGGUCUCUGGGCUGUUACUGACGCUGAGGAGCGAAAGCAUGGGGAGCGAACAGGAUUAGAUACCCUGGUAGUCCAUGCCGUAAACGUUGGGCACUAGGUGUGGGGGACAUUCCACGUUUUCCGCGCCGUAGCUAACGCAUUAAGUGCCCCGCCUGGGGAGUACGGCCGCAAGGCUAAAACUCAAAGGAAUUGACGGGGGCCCGCACAAGCGGCGGAGCAUGCGGAUUAAUUCGAUGCAACGCGAAGAACCUUACCAAGGCUUGACAUAUACCGGAUCGUUCCAGAGAUGGUUCUUCCCCUUUG
rnacentral:rRNA from 1 species